rnacentral:rRNA from 1 species
UACGGGAGGCAGCAGUGGGGAAUAUUGCACAAUGGGCGCAAGCCUGAUGCAGCCAUGCCGCGUGUAUGAAGAAGGCCUUCGGGUUGUAAAGUACUUUCAGUCGUGAGGAAGGUGUUAAGGUUAAUAACCUUAGCAAUUGACGUUAGCGACAGAAGAAGCACCGGCUAACUCCGUGCCAGCAGCCGCGGUAAUACGGAGGGUGCGAGCGUUAAUCGGAAUUACUGGGCGUAAAGGGCACGCAGGCGGUUAAUUAAGUUGGAUGUGAAAUCCCCGGGCUUAACCUGGGAAUGGCAUUCAAGCUGGUUAGCUAGAGUCUUGUAGAGGGGGUAGAAUUCCAUGUGUAGCGGUGAAAUGCGUAGAGAUGUGAAGGAAUACCGGUGGCGAAGGCGGCCCCUGGACAAAGACUGACGCUCAUGUGCGAAAGCGUGGGGAGCGAAACAGGGAUUAGAUACC